UACAGAGGGUGCGAGCGUUUAAUCGGAAUUACUGGGCGUAAAGCGUGCGUAGACGGUUAUGUAAGUCAGGUGUGAAAGCCCCGGGCUCAACCUGGGAAUUGCAUUUGAGACUGCAUAGCUAGGGUGCGGAAGAGGGAAGCGGAAUUUCCGGUGUAGCGGUGAAAUGCGUAGAUAUCGGAAGGAACAUCAGUGGCGAAAGCGGCUUCCUGGUCCAGCACCGACGUUCAGGCACGAAAGCGUGGGGAGCAAACAGG
rnacentral:rRNA from 1 species